UGAGUAACCUGCCCUUCACUCUGGGAUAACUCCGGGAAACCGGGGCUAAUACUGGAUAUGACUCGAACAGGCAUCUGUUUCGGGUGGAAAGAUUUUAUUGGUGGAGGAUGGACUCGCGGCCUAUCAGCUUGUUGGUGGGUCAUGGCUCACCAAGGCGACGACGGGUANCUGGUCUGAGAGGACGACCAGCCACACUGGAACUGACGACGACCCGGCCCAGUACCCUACCGGUACGGGGACGG
rnacentral:rRNA from 1 species